rnacentral:rRNA from 1 species
UAGGGAAUCUUCCACAAUGGGCGAAAGCCUGAUGGAGCAACGCCGCGUGUGUGAUGAAGGGUUUCGGCUCGUAAAACACUGUUGUAAGAGAAGAAUGACAUUGAGAGUAACUAUUCAAUGCGUGACGGUAUCUUACCAGAAAGGAACGGCUAAAUACGUGCCAG